AUUGAACGCUGGCGGCAGGCCUAACACAUGCAAGUCGAGCGGAGCGGCGGACGGGUGAGUAAUGCCUAGGAAUCUGCCUGGUAGUGGGGGAUAACGUCCGGAAACGGGCGCUAAUACCGCAUACUAUCAGAUGAGCCUAGGUCGGAUUAGCUAGUUGGUGGGGUAAAGGCCUACCAAGGCGACGAUCCGUAACUGGUCUGAGAGGAUGAUCAGUCACCAUGGAACGUAGAAACGGUCAGGACUCCGACGUGAGGCAGCAGUGGGGAAUAUUGGAAAAUGGGCGAAAGCCGGAUCCAGCCAGGCCGUGUGUGGGAAGAAGGUUUUCGGAGGGUAAAUCAUUUUAAGUUGGGAGACGUUAACAACAGAAUAGGCAACGGAUAACUUCGUGCCAGCAGCCGCGGUAAUAC
rnacentral:rRNA from 1 species